UUUCUGUGAUGGCUACUUUUGUGUGUCAACUUGACUGGGACACAGAGUGCCCAAUGAAA
rnacentral:snoRNA from 1 species